rnacentral:rRNA from 1 species
GGAGGGGAGCUAGCGUUGUUCGGAAUUACUGGGCGUAAAGCGUGCGUAGGGCGGUUCUGUAAGUUAGGGAGUGAAAUCCCCGGGGCUCAACCUGGGAACUGCUCUUAAGACUGCAGAGCUUGAGGACGAGAGAGGAAAGUGGAAUUCCAAGUGUAGAGGUGAAAUUCGUAGAUAUUUGGAAGAACACCAGUGGCGAAGGCGACUUUCUGGCUCGUAACUGACGCUGAGGUACGAAAGUGUGGGGAGCAAACAGGAUUAGAUACCCUGGUAGUCCACACCGUAAACGAUGAGUGCUAGACGUUUGUAGGUUUACCUAUGUGUGUCGCAGCUAACGCAUUAAGCACUCCGCCUGGGGAGUACGGUCGCAAAGAUUA